rnacentral:rRNA from 1 species
AAACUCGCGAGAGCUAGCAAAUCCCAUAAACCGUGGCUCAGUUCAGAUCGUAGGCUGCAACUCGCCUACGUGAAGUAGGAAUCGCUAGUAAUCGCAGGUCAGCAUACUGCGGUGAAUACGUUCCCGGGCCUUGUACACACCGCCCGUCACACCAUGGAAGUUGGCCACGCCCGAAGUCGUUACUCCAACCCUUGUGGAGGAGGACGCCGAAGGUGGGGCUAAUGACUGGGGUGAAGUCGUAACAAGGUAGCCGUACCGGAAGGUGCGGCUGGAUCACCUCCUAA